CAGUGCCGCCGGUGGUGCGGUUCGCGCUUGGACUGCGUCAGCAGCGUUGGAGGCGCGAUCCGCGCAGGUGGCGUGGGGGGGUGCUUUUCUAUGGCGUCAGCGUGGUCGGCGCGUCAGUGACGUCAGCGGCGCGACCCCGGCGUCUACGGUGCGUCCGAGGCGUCCCAGGCGCGGAGUGCAUCGGCGGCGCGGUCGGCACCUCCAGAAUGUAGGCGAUGCAGUAAGCUGGUCGGGUGCAUCCUCGGCGCGGUUAGCGGUUCGGCGGCUUCCCAGCCGCUCACAAGGUUGGAGUGCAGUGGUGCCAUCAUAGCUCACAGUAACAUGUAACUCAAGACUCAAGGAAUUGUCCUGCCUCAGUCUCCCAGCUUAUAUGAAGGCCAAUCAUGUUCAGACCCAGGCGGAGGUUCCUGCUGACCCAGGCUCUCACCGGCACAUUGUCCUUUACUGUCCUCCUGAGGGCGUCUGGAGCUUCAGUGCUGUGUGCUCUGGGCCUCCAU